AACCAUAAUAAUAUUAAUAUUCCUCCUAAACCCACCACCCCAUUGAUAGAGCUAGAGAGAAGAUUAAGGUGAGCAUGGGUGAGAAAAUGUCGGGAGCUGACGUUUCACCGCCGUUCAAACCCAAGAAAGGGAGUGUAAUUCCUCCAAAGAGAAUAUCAGUGAAGAAGAUGAUGUUUGACUCCAUACUUAAAUCCAUUGCUACUCUUCUUUGCUGCUCCCAUCGCCAUCCUUCUCCCUCUGACAUCGGAUUAAUCAUUUCGCCGCCCAACAAAUCAACCGAGAAUGCGAAGAAUAUGAAGAUUUUCCCCCACGGAGGCCAAAUGACCAUCAGCAAAAAUAGAUCAGCUUAGGCUAUAUUUAUAUAUAGUUUUUUUUUUUUUUUUUUUGCCCUUUUUUAUGGUGUGGGUCAAGAUUGUACUUAUUUACUUCAUUUGGUGAGUUCUUCUGUUACAAGGGAUCACUGUUGUUGUACAUUCUCCAGUGUCAAUCCCUGUGAUUGUUGCUAUUGGGGUACGGUUUAUUAGGUCUAAUUAAUAUGUGUUUUCUGUAUAAAGAAAUAAAUAUUUGACAUGCUCAUCAAUUUGUACUUCUUAUUUCUUUAUUAAGAUUUCGAUGUGAAACCUUUUUUUACGUAGAAUGUUUUUUUAACCUUUUUGGGUGUUUCCCUGCUUUUAUAAAUUCCCCUUCCCUGCACAUCCAUCGGCACCAGUUUCGCUUCUCUCUCUCUUUCUCUCUGUAGUCCUCAAAAGUCAAAACUCCUCUCUCUUUCCCCCGCGACGCUCUGUUUCUCGAUUGUCUCCGGUGCAGGACAGCCGAGCCGCCAUUGAUCCAUAGAGGAGAGAGAGACACGCUCUGUUUCUCGAUUGUCUCCGGUGCAGGACAGCCGAGCCGCCAUUGAUCCAUAGAGGUGUCAUUAGAUUUUUUUUGACUUGGCUAUUGGUACGGGAAUCAAAUAUGGAUUGCUUGAUUGCAUCUACAUUGCCAGGAAUAUAUGUACAGGUGGUGACACGUACAAAGGAGUGGUCUGUUUUCUCCCUUUUCAAUUCCCCGUUGAAAAUUGAAACUUGAAGUGUAGAAGUAAUUUCUUUGGUGGAUGCUUCCAGGAAGUGUCCAAGCAGCUUCCUCUGUCCAGGCAAAAAAAGAAUACCGAAGCAAAAAGAUUAAAAUUAAAUUUGACCUUCGACAUUUUUUUCUUUUUUCUUUCUUUUUUGCAAAAGAAUGAGAUGGUUUGCAUCAUCAUGUUGAAGCGAUUGUUACUUGCCAGUUGCCACACGAAGAUAAGGUGAAAGUUCUUUGAAGAACAGAAAUCCCAAUGAUUUCAAUUGUGCCUUGUUCAAACUUCCAACACUUAACAUAGGAUACCUGCUGGACCCUUCUAACUAGAUUAUAUAUGUAAACGAAGAUAAUCAAAUAAUUUUAGUGAUUAAAAAAUUUGAUCUUGUUCUCCUUUU